rnacentral:rRNA from 1 species
CACGUAGGCGGAUUUGCCAGUCAGGGGUGAAAUCCCGGGGCUCAACCUCGGAACUGCCUUUGAUACAGCAAGUCUUGAGUCCGAGAGAGGUGGGUGGAAUUCCUAGUGUAGAGGUGAAAUUCGUAGAUAUUAGGAAGAACACCGGUGGCGAAGGCGGCCCACUGGCUCGACACUGACGCUGAGGUGCGAAAGCGUGGGGAGCAAACA